CAUCGGCCUGUGUCAAUCGAGGUUGAGUUUAGUGAGGGUUGAAAGUUUUCGAUCUAGAUUGCAGAUAACUAUUGUCACUUUAUGCAAACUGAAAGUAUGCGUUGUUGCGUCUUUGUUUUUGUGGGCAUUUGACUGAACAGCCUAGACAAAUAUUGCUACCAACAUGGCACUUCGAAACAGACCACCGCAGGGGACUUGACUGGUGAGUCUACUGGAUUAAUCAGUAGCGGUACUUUGCCCAACAGAUUUGAUGGCAUGACUACAGGUUGGUGGUUCAACACUGAUGUCUCUGUAGGCUUGAGGGAGAGCUCACAAGUAAAUUACACGGAUGUCCUGGAGCAAUUGGGAUUACACUUUUAUUUAGUCUACCUGACCAGGGACAUCUUUGAACUAUAGGUCACCUGACCCAAACUUUUCACUCUUGUUAGGUUGUCCUUUUCUCUGGUUUUAACCCUAAAGGGCUGAAAAUAUCAACAUUUCAGGUAUUCUGUUUGGAUAAUGUGUAAAACUUGUGGCUUCACUAAUAAAAAAAAAAAUUAACAAAUGUAUUUUUCUCAAUGUGGUUAGCCUAUUUAAAGAUUUGUAUGCAAAAUAUUUCUGCUCAAUUUGUGGUCAGUGAAACUCAUUUUUUUUAAUUUGAUUAAACACAACUAUGGGUUAAAGGUAUUUGCUUUGGGCAUCUUUUGAUAUUUUUAGAAUCUAGCUCCAUUGCCGUUAGAAAUGGUGUCUCCCAGUACUGCAAAGUGCUUCCACAAGUUUAAAAAAGAAUGGGCAGAAAAAUAACUGCCAACUAAAUCUAUUUAACAUG
ensembl:lncRNA